GAUGAACGCUAGCUACAGGCUUAACACAUGCAAGUCGAGGGGCAGCAUUUCAGUUUGCUUGCAAACUGGAGAUGGCGACCGGCGCACGGGUGAGUAACACGUAUCCAACCUGCCGAUAACUCGGGGAUAGCCUUUCGAAAGAAAGAUUAAUACCCGAUGGUAUAAUCAGACCGCAUGGUCUUGUUAUUAAAGAAUUUCGGUUAUCGAUGGGGAUGCGUUCCAUUAGGCAGUUGGUGAGGUAACGGCUCACCAAACCUUCGAUGGAUAGGGGUUCUGAGAGGAAGGUCCCCCACAUUGGAACUGAGACGCGGUCCAAACUCCUACGGGAGGCAGCAGUGAGGAAUAUUGGUCAAUGGGCGCAGGCCUGAACCAGCCAAGUAGCGUGAAGGAUGACUGCCCUAUGGGUUGUAAACUUCUUUUAUAUGGGAAUAAAGUUUUCCACGUGUGGAAUUUUGUAUGUACCAUAUGAAUAAGGAUCGGCUAACUCCGUGCCAGCAGCCGCGGUAAUACGGAGGAUCCGAGCGUUAUCCGGAUUUAUUGGGUUUAAAGGGAGCGUAGGUGGACAGUUAAGUCAGUUGUGAAAGUUUGCGGCUCAACCGUAAAAUUGCAGUUGAUACUGGCUGUCUUGAGUACAGUAGAGGUGGGCGGAAUUCGUGGUGUAGCGGUGAAAUGCUUAGAUAUCACGAAGAACUCCGAUUGCGAAGGCAGCUCACUGGACUGCAACUGACACUGAUGCUCGAAAGUGUGGGUAUCAAACAGGAUUAGAUACCCUGGUAGUCCACACAGUAAACGAUGAAUACUCGCUGUUUGCGAUAUACAGUAAGCGGCCAAGCGAAAGCAUUAAGUAUUCCACCUGGGGAGUACGCCGGCAACGGUGAAACUCAAAGGAAUUGACGGGGGCCCGCACAAGCGGAGGAACAUGUGGUUUAAUUCGAUGAUACGCGAGGAACCUUACCCGGGCUUAAAUUGCAUUUGAAUAUAUUGGAAACAGUAUAGCCGUAAGGCAAAUGUGAAGGUGCUGCAUGGUUGUCGUCAGCUCGUGCCGUGAGGUGUCGGCUUAAGUGCCAUAACGAGCGCAACCCUUAUCUUUAGUUACUAACAGGUCAUGCUGAGGACUCUAGAGAGACUGCCGUCGUAAGAUGUGAGGAAGGUGGGGAUGACGUCAAAUCAGCACGGCCCUUACGUCCGGGGCUACACACGUGUUACAAUGGGGGGUACAGAAGGCAGCUACCUGGUGACAGGAUGCUAAUCCCAAAAGCCUCUCUCAGUUCGGAUCGAAGUCUGCAACCCGACUUCGUGAAGCUGGAUUCGCUAGUAAUCGCGCAUCAGCCAUGGCGCGGUGAAUACGUUCCCGGGCCU
rnacentral:rRNA from 1 species